rnacentral:lncRNA from 1 species
ACAGCUCAUGGAGAGAAAUAGACUGGGUUUUUUUGUUUGUUUUCUUUUCAGCUUUUAUUUUUUAUUUAUUUAUUUAUUUUACUUAUUCAAGUCACAUCCUCAUCUCCCCAUCCCACAAUCCUUACCUCCAUCCCUCGAUUCCCUUCUCCUCUGAGUAGGUGGGGGCCCCCUGGGUAUCUCCCCACCCUGGCACUUCAAAUCUCUGUGUAGGUACAUCCUGUUCCAUUGAGGCCAAACAAGGCAGCCCAUCAAGAACAUAACCCACAUACAGGUGACAGUUUUGGGGAGGGCCCCCUUUCCAAUUGUUCAGGACGAGCUGCUACAUAUGUGCAGGGAAGCCUAGGUCCAGCCCGUGUAUGUUCUUUGGUUGGUUGUUCAGACUCUGAGAACCCCCAAAAGGGUCCAGGCUAGUUGACUCUCCUUAUCUUCCUAUGGAGUUCCUAUCCCCUUUGGGGCCUGCAAUCCUUCCUCCUAUUUUUCCAUAAGGGUCUCCAAGCUCCAUCCACUCUUUGGUUGUGGGUGUAUGUAUCUGAGUCAGCUGCUGGGCAGAGCCUCUCAGAGAACAAUAUGUUCCUGUCUGCAAGAGUAACAGAGUAUCAUUAAUACUGUCAGGGAUUGGUGCUUGCCCAUGAUGGGUCUCAAGUUGGGCCAGUUAUUUGUUGGCCAUUCCCUCAGUCUCUGCUAACAGAAAGCAGCUACACCUGGUUAUACUCAGAAAAUAGACUCUGAGUCAUGCAGAGGCAGUAAUUCAGCUAAACUUUUAUCUUGCACAUACAAGGGCAAGUCUCUGGUUUCUGUUGUUUUGUGAUGAUUCAGGUCAUUUACCAUUACCAGACUGCCAUGAGAAUGCAAAUAAUCAUGGCCACCACCAUCCUGGUCCACAACUCCUAGAAUGGAGCUAUUAGAAUAUCCACUCUCUGUGGUGUCUGUGUAUAGCCAGAUAGAUCUAUUUUCUGUUACCAGCUUCUUCCUGCUAUGACUGCCUGUAACCCAGGCAGACUGUGGUACAGACAGGUUUUCAUUCUCCCUUUUCCUCCACCUAUGAUUGACAGCACCUGAGUCAAAGUCCCUGCAUUGUGCCCUGUUGUGCUCCUUUUCCAAUUGGUACGUAGAAUGACAGCUCUCUCAUUCAAAUCAGGUCAUCAUGUUUACUUGAAUAGCAAAUCUAUGUGGUUUAUGUUGAUCAGCUGCUUCUGUAUAACUCUGGCCAGUUGACAUAUGCUAAGUAGAAGACACCAAUGUGACAACAAUACACCAGUAAGUUCUGGGCAGUGGUAUCCUUUACAAUUAUUUUCCAAGGUAAAUCUUUUACAUAUGUUUUUAAUUAGAUAUUUUCUUUAUUAACAUUUCCAAUGUUAUCCCCUUUCCUGGUUUCCCCUCCGAAAACCCCCUAUACCCUCCCUACUCUCCCAGCUCACCCACCCACCAACUCCUGCUUCCUGGCCCUGGCAUUCCCCUACACUGGAGCAUAGAACCUUCACAGGACCAAGGUCCUCUCCUCCCAUUAACGACCGACUAGGCCAUCCUCUGCUACAUAUGCAGCUAGAGCCAUGAGUCCCUCCAUGUGUUUUCUUUGAUUGGUGGUUUAGUCCCAGGGAGCUCUGGGGGUACUUGUGAGUUCAUAUUGUUGUUCCUCCUGCGGGGCUCCUUCAGCUCCUUGGGUACCUUCUCUAGCUCCUUCACAGGGGACCCUGCUUUCACAUGUGUUUUAACAAUGCUUCGCCUAAGAGAUCUCUUGUCUUCUGUUUCUGAGUGAAUGAACCCUUGCAUCCUCUGCUGCCCUUGCUUCAGGUACUCCCUUUCACAUUCCCUUGUAAGCAUUCUUAACCAGGUAUGACUAGACUUCCGAACCUCAUGUAUCCUGUCUGUAAAAGCACGACUCCUGAUGCCAUUGACGGAAAUCAUCAAGCGUGCAAGAGUCCACAAUUAGCAUACAGAAGUCGAGGACCAUUUGGAGGAAUCCCUUCUUUUCUUCCACCAAGUGAGCUCCAAGGUUGAACUCAAAUCGCCAGGCUUGGUGGCAAGUGACUUUACCUUUCAGCCUGUGAGCAGGACAUCUGAUUAAACUUAUUAACUUUUUUUUUAAUUGUUCUGAACAUUAACAAUCAGAUCAGAAUAUAUCAAGCAACUUCUGGAUUCUCUAAUUUUACUUUUGAAAUUUUUGAGAUACAAAUUCCAUUAACAAAAGGAAAAUUGGAUCAAGUAUUUAAAUUUCCUAUGAUAUCCAUAACUGUUAAAGACCCACCAAUUGUAAGGUAAAAAUAUGUCCAUUUCUACAUUCCCAUUUUAUGUGUGAUUAGAUCACAUUCAGAGAAGUUAGUGUGAAUGUUAAAGAUAACAUUUGAAUUUUAACACAGAUAUAUGACUUUUAUAAAUGAUUUCUGUUCCU